GGGCAGGAUAUGUGAAGUUAGCUAACCGGCGAGCCGGUUAUCUAUCUUCACUUCCCCUUAUUCGCACUUCGUGCUCAACGGGUCUCCUGCUCUGCGAGGCC
rfam:Rhodoferax ferrireducens isolate A7 Ga0073115_119, whole genome shotgun sequence.